rnacentral:rRNA from 1 species
AAUGAACGCUAGCGGGAUGCUUUACACAUGCAAGUCGAACGAGUGGCGGACGGGUGAGUAAUAUAUCGGAACGUGCCCAGUAGCGGGGGAUAACUACGCGAAAGAGUGGCUAAUACCGCAGACUAUUGGAGCGGCCGAUAUCGGAUGAGCUAGUUGGGGGGGUAAAGGCUCAGCAAGGCAACGAACCGUAGCUGGUUGGAGAGGACGACCAGCCACACUGGGACUGAGACACGGCCCAUACUCCUGCGAGAGGCAGCAGUGGCGAAUUGUAGACAGUGGUGGAAACCCUUAUCCAGGCAUCCCGCGUGUAUGAGAAGGCCUUCGGGUUGUAAAGUCCUUUUGGUAGAGAAGCGGUAUCUGCAGAAUAAGCACCGGCUAACUACGUGCCAGCAGCCGCGGUAAUUC